rnacentral:lncRNA from 1 species
CUUCACUUCUGUGGCUACAACGGAAGGGCCCCGAGCCCCGGGCGGAGCGGACGAGGCUGGCACCCCCGCCCCCCACGCCCUCCCGCCCUCCCGCCCUCGGAAGUGUGGUGCUCUGUCGCCACCUGGUGGCCGUAGCCGACCUGCGGGGACGACCGGGCUCCCCCGUCAGGGGCGGGUUUCGGAGCGCGGCUUCCCUCCCGCGAAGGCCGAAAAAGAGGCGGUGGGCCCGGGUGGCCUCCUGGCGGGGCGCGCGGCUGACAAAGAGCGAGGGUGGAAGGGCAACUGAGGCUUGAGAGUCAACUGACUGGAGGCGACAAUGGCCCCAUUGUGUCCGGGGCCUUGACCUUGAUUUCCUGCCACUUCUCUCCGGCGUGGCAUCACCCGGGUCUGAUUGGCCGGGCGUCUGCUCCGCGACGGGGCGCGCCCCGGGCUGGAACCCGAGCGACCCGCAAGGCCGAGGUGCGCGACUGUCCCCAGGAAGCCCGGAGAAGGCCGCCUCCUCUCAGAAGUCCUCAGCCUCCCCCCUCUGCACGGCCGGGAGUGCGGGGCCGGCACCAGGCUCGCGCGGAAAGGUCCCUGAGAUGGGCCACAGAGUCUCCCUGGCCAGACAGCACCAGGAUGCAGGACACUACAGGACCUCGCCGUUCCAGAUGAUGCAGCAGGGAAACAGCAAAUCGAUUAAACAAGGCACCGUUUUUCUACCUUAGCC